rnacentral:rRNA from 1 species
GACGAACGCUGGCGGCGUGCUUAACACAUGCAAGUCGAACGGAAAGGCCCUGCUUUUGUGGGGUGCUCGAGUGGCGAACGGGUGAGUAACACGUGAGUAACCUGCCCUUGACUUUGGGAUAACUUCAGGAAACUGGGGCUAAUACCGGAUAGGAGCUCCUGCUGCAUGGUGGGGGUUGGAAAGUUUCGGCGGUUGGGGGUGGACUCGCGGCUCAUCAGGUUGUUGGGGGGGUAGUGGCUUAGCAAGGCUAUGACGGGUAGCCGACCUGGGAGGGGAGCCGGCUCAGUUGCGCUGGGGCUGCGGCCCAGACUCCUACCGGAGGCAGAAGAGGGGAAUAGUGCACAAGGGGAGGAAGCCUGACGCAGCAACGCAGCGCCGGGGAUGUCGGCCUGCGGGUAGGAUUCCGCUGUUGUCUGACACGAAGCGAGAGUGACGGUACUGGGUAAAGAAGCUCCGGCUAACUACGUG